UAACCCUGCCACUAGGAAACUUUCCGAUGAAUUGGGGUAUUUUCGCUGCGAUUUUAAGUUUCAAUCUUCAAUAUUCAUGUUUGCUUUUGGUUAUGAUGAUUCAAUUCACACUUAUAAAGUUGUGGCCUUCCUUCUAGGGGGAACGGAGGUGAGAGUUUUUGACUUGGGUGCUAAUAAUGUUUGGAGAGAUAUUCAAAAUUCACCUGAGGUUUCUUAUUUUGGGAUGAAUGAAUUAUGGCGUGUAUUUGAGUGGUAGUAUUCACUGGACGGCACUUUCGGAUGGCCAAUUUGUGAUUAUUGCACUUGAUCUGAGAGAACAGAGACAUACACUAAGUUGCUGCUACCUAAGGAAGUGACGCUUAAUGUGCCAAUUCUUCGUGUUUCUAAGGGAACUCAUCUUAUUAUAUGGCAAAUGACAGAAUAUGGAGUUGAAGAGUCUUGGACUCAAUUACUUAAAAUAAGUUUUCAGAAUCUUAGAAAUAUACUUCAUAACUUCGAGACGGGAAAUUAUUAUCAUUGGUUUCCACUAUACCUUUCUGAGAGCUGUGAUACAUUGAUAUUGGCAAACUAUUUAAAAGACCAAGCAAUUCUAUAUAAUUGGAGGGAUAAUGAGAGAACUAGAAUUUCAAUUCAAAAAUCAUUUUGGCAUAGUGCCAAGGAUUAUGUUGAAACCUUGGUUUGGUAUUGUUGAGAUAGAGAGAACUAGAAUUGCAACUGAAGAAUCAUUAUGGAUGAACGGCAACGGUUAUGUUGAAAGCUUGGUUUGGUAUUGUUGAAAAUUUGCAACUCCAAGGACAUGCAGUAUUAUUGACGGUACAUGUACAGAUUAUAGGAAGAAAGGGGCUUAUUGUAGAUAUAGUUGCUUCAGUUGUAGUUUUUAUUUUCUAAUUUGUUGGAGCU